rnacentral:rRNA from 1 species
AUGGCUGAUGCACUGGGCAGCGUGACAAAGGCUCUCGAUAUUGUGUUCAAGAUCAAAGAGGCUGUGGAUACAGUUAAACAAAACGAAAAGGAUUGUGAACAGAUCAAGAAGCGUGUGGAGAGGGUCCAACACACGCUCACUCUGUUCCAACAGGAUGUGGAGCUGAUGAACUCCGCGGGGAGCCGCACUGCACUGGAGGCGUUGCGUGAGGUCCUCACCGAGGCCCUCGAGCUCGUCACAGGCUGCAAGGAAGAGACUAAUCUGUGUUGUCUCCUCAUAAAGGCUGGGGAGGUGUCCAAGAAGCUGAACAAGGCAGACCAGACCAUAUCUAAUAUAAACUCUGAGGUGUCGCUUACCAUCAUGCUCUGCAUUGCGCCGCACACCACCAAGCCACUUAAACUCUACCAAGCACCGGAUGAACAUGGCCGUUCGCUGCAAUUGGUAUUACUGGGUGGAUCUUUUGUCAAACAAACACGAAGCGUGCCACCUACUAUUUCUGAAAUUGCGGUGGAAAUCAAGGUAGCGGUGGACAGAGUCCAGAGGAACAAGGAAGAGUGCAUUGAAGUUGAUAAGCGUGUGAAUGGUGUCAAUGCCCUCCUUUCACAGUUCGGGAAUACAGAACUAAUGAAGGACCCAUCCAUGAGUGCUUCAAUAGAGAAGCUCCAUACGACCUUUUGCAUUGCUCGCACACUCGUCAUGGAGUGUCAGAAAAGAAAUAUUAUUUUCAUUCGAUCUGGUUGGGAGUUGUCCAAGCAGCUACGUGAGGUACUGGAUCAAAUUGAUCUUGCCCUUGAUGAUAUGAUCACCAUUAGUGCGAACUAUGCCUGUACAGUGUGA